rnacentral:tRNA from 1 species
GGAGAUAUAGCUCAGUUGGUAGAGUGCAUGCCUACCAUGCACUAGGCCAUUGGUUCAAUCCCCAGUACCACCG